UGGGGAAUAUUGCACAAUGGGGGAAACCCUGAUGCAGCGACGCCGCGUGAGCGGAGAAGGUUUUCGAAUCGUAAAGCUCUGUCCUAUGAGAAGAUAAUGACGGUAUCAUAGGAGGAAGCCCCGGCUAAAUACGUGCCAGCAGCCGCGGUAAUACGUAUGGGGCGAGCGUUGUCCGGAAUUAUUGGGCGUAAAGGGUACGUAGGCGGUCUAUUAAGUCAGGUGUGAAAGCGUGAGGCUUAACCUCAUUAAGCACUUGAAACUGAUAGACUUGAGUGAAGGAGAGGAAAGUGGAAUUCCUAGUGUAGCGGUGAAAUGCGUAGAUAUUAGGAGGAACACCAGUAGCGAAGGCGGCUUUCUGGACUGCAACUGACACUGAGGCACGAAAGCGUGGGUAGCAAACAG
rnacentral:rRNA from 1 species